rnacentral:lncRNA from 1 species
GUCAAGCACAAUUUUUUUAAUACAUUUCCAAGUGGAUCUCAUCAUAGGCAGACAAAUUUCGGUGCGUGUUAUCCAUCCUAACUUGAGUACCCAAUACACAUACAUGUAUAUCUUGGUACAUAUAAUGACAUGAUCAUUUUCUACUUCAAAUCAUCACAACCAUUCUGUUCCUAAUAAAUCCAAAGAUGGACCCAGACAAAUAUGGGAAUAUAUGUCCAGUAUGAUCUUUUGAAUACAUGUCUAAGUGGAUCAUCCUAGGCAAGAACUUUUUAGUGCAUGUCAUCCAUCCUAAUUUGAGUGCACAAGACACAUACAUAUAUUACUUGGUACAUAACAUGACAUCCUUUUCCACGACAUGAACAGCGAACCCCAAGUGUGAAGGACUGAAGUGACCCCCACUGAAUAAGCAUCGCUACAUGAACAGCGAACCCCAAGUGUGAUGACAUAAAAAUUAAGCACCUUUAUGCACUACGAAUCAAAUCAUUUCUUGCUUUUGGACCUUUAUGCACCUUUUGUUCCUAACUAGCAGCCAGCAACCUACCAUUGGGCAUAAGCAGUGCUGUGCCACACCAGUGUGAUUAUUAGAAUAUUUAAGAUGCCCGGUUAAACUACCAUUGGGCAUAAGCGCAGUAAGCUAUCUCAAAACCUAUCAAGAAAAAGAAGAUGUGUUUGAACUGUGAUGUGAUGGUGUAACCUUGCACUGCUCAGCAUUGUUCUUCAACCAUAAUCAUGUAUCAGUGAGUUGGCAUGACAAUAUAUAGCUGAAAAGUGUAAGCCAAAACCUGAGGACACGUAACAAUAUUAUAAUAAAUCAGUGUGGUAUGAUGCAUUUUCAAAAUAAUCAGCUUUCAGUUCAUUCCGACCAAAACAGUUGAACACUUUCCCACGAUAAUAUAUCGGCCAUCUAUAAAAUAGACUUUUUUGCGAGGGAAAAAACUUACAUUAAUUAACUGGCUGCACUACAGUCUAAGGAGCACAACUGCUUUAUCUCAUCAGGUCCUUUUGUGAGCAUGGCUGACAACAUUUUGUUCGCGACAUACAUGCUUUAUUGCAUGCUCCAGGUCAAGUCCGAGGAGCAGUUUAAUUUCAUCUACAAGCAGCGCAGCCGGCGACUUGUCCUGGACAGUGCUUUGGAUCAUCUAUAAAAUAGACAUUGAGCAAGCAGGCACGAUUAAAUUAGUGAAUUGUACAAAUGUGCUAGCAGCUAUAUAUCAAGAGAAAGAAAGAAGAAAAUAAAACACACUUGGUUCACCAUGAAAUAGACAACAGAAAUCACAAAACAGAUCUGGAUCAUGCACGUAUGAACAAUUCCCAAAUCCCCAUAAAAACAGAGCAAGUAAACUGCACAUACUACAUAACUGUAUGCCUAUUCAGCACGUACGGAUCUAUAUUGGUGUGUUGGCGCCGCAAGUUCUCCUGGCCAGUGAGCUACAUCCAAAUCCAUACCUCCCCUAAAGAAAAAGAAUACUAACUGGAAUCAGCCAAAUUACAGAGAGAAAUCUAUGGGAGGGAGUGGGAGAAACGGAUCUAACCUUGAUGUCGCUUGCUGAGCAUGCGAGGCGAAGGAGGCGAGCAGAUCGAGCGUCACCGGCUUGGCUCCGGUGAGCUAAUGCUGGACCUAGGAGCACCGGGGAGGAGGAUACCGUGGUGGCAUCACCACGCGCUCGAGCACUACCAGAUUGCCUGCGGAAAGAUAAGAGUGAACAGCUUAGCGGGCGGGGCACUCGCGGCCACCGGGGAGGAGAACACCGUGGCGGCUGUGGCCUUUUCCCUGACGAUGAUGUGCAGCGCGACGAUGGGGUGACCGGGAGAUGGAGAUAACUGACCUGAAUGCCGGAUUGGGAGGGGGGAGGCAGGGAGCAGUCGUGGGAGUAGUCGUCGUCCACCAGGGAAUCACCGGAUCUGGGCAGCCGCCAGGUUCGGCGAGCGAUAGGGGAACAGGAGAGCGAUAGAGAGAUGUGUCGUUUGAGGGAGGAGAAGAAGGACCUGAAGCAAAUUCGUGGGGAGCAAAGGGAAAGUUUUGCACACGAUCUGUACAGAUCCCACCUCUCUAAUCUAUGCCAUACA